GAAAGUGAAACUAAAUAUUCCAAUGAACAAAUUUAUCAAAAGUUCAUAUUUAUGUGGAUGUCUAUAUGGGACAAACAAUUUUUUUUAGACAAUUAUAGAAUGUAGUCACGAAAAAUCAAUCUUAAAAUAUAUAAUUAAAAAAAAACCAUUUAAGCAAAUCAUCAAAAUUUUCAAUAUUACAGCAAAUAAGAAUAUAAAGACCAACUAUAUUCUCUUCAUGUAUAAUGUGUUGUGGUAAGAUUCAAAAAAAUUAACUUACUUUACAGUAACGAAAAAUUAGAUUUUUAAUUCCAAAUUUACAGUAAAAACAUAACAUUUUAUAAAACUAAACAAUUGACAUAAUAGUAUAAAAAUAUAUAAAAAAAAAUUAAAAUACUAUCCGCGCGUAGCGCGGACAAGGACCUAGUAAUUGCUAACAGUAAUCCCAAUCACGUGCUUUAACGUUGGUAUCAUGUGUCUAUCACGGUUCGCUUCAUGUGCAAGAAUAUAAAAAAGUGAGAAAAAUAAAGAAAUUAUUCAGAUCUCGCAGCCUUUCAGUCUCCGCACCUGAGCCAGUCUGGAUCCAUCUGUACAACCCCCUCCAUGUUUUUUAUUCUUGGGUGCUAUGGCCAGUGGAGUUAAUGCAGAAAAUGAAGAAUCACAAAUUAUAACUUAUCCUCUAUUAAUCUUAGUUAGAAAAAUGAAUAUGCUAAUAACAUUUGUAAUUUUUUUUAUCAUAGAUCAAAUUUCAGUUCCAAUAAAAUUUGUAAAAUAAAACUGAUUUUACCUCAAUGAAUUGUGUUUAUGGAUUUACCUGAAAAAAUAGUGUUUCUCUAUUUGCGACAGGUUCUUUUGCAAAAGAAUUAACUUAUUGUCCACAUAAUGACAGGAAAAUAUACAGAAUUUCCUGCUAUGAAAACAAAAUAUCCACAAUUAUUUGCUCAGUGGGUACCAAUCUUUAUUUGUAAAUGCCAACUUGAAGAUAGAGUGUUUAAAUAUUUAUGUAUGUCAUGGGCCAACGAACCUAACAGCCGUUAGAGCAUCUGCAUUAGUGAACUCCAUGGGGAGUUCACACAGUUUUCGAAAAAAAAAAAAUAUUAAAAUAAACAAAAGCAAUGAACCUCCUUCUUAGAAGUUCACUGCAUUGAACCCGGAUCAUCACUGUAG
rnacentral:lncRNA from 1 species